rnacentral:rRNA from 1 species
GGCCGCGUCGACGAUGAACGCUAGCUACAGGCUUAACACAUGCAAGUCGAGGGGCAGCAUGAACUUAGCUUGCUAAGUUUGAUGGCGACCGGCGCACGGGUGAGUAACGCGUAUCCAACCUUCCGUUUACUCGGGUAUAGCCUUUCGAAAGAAAGAUUAAUCCCCGAUGGUAUGGUAAGAUUGCAUGAAAUUACCAUUAAAGAUUUAUCGGUUUUUGGAUGGACUCGCGGCCUAUCAGCUUGUUGGUGAGGUAAUGGCUCACCAAGGCGACGACGGGUAGCCGGCCUGAGAGGGUGACCGGCCACACUGGGACUGAGACACGGCCCAGACUCCUACGGGAGGCAGCAGUGGGGAAUAUUGCACAAUGGGCGAAAGCCUGAUGCAGCGACGCCGCGUGAGGGAUGACGGCCUUCGGGUUGUAAACCUCUUUCAGUAGGGAAGAAGCGAA